rnacentral:rRNA from 1 species
UUUACGAUGGAGAGUUUGAUCCUGGCUCAGGAUGAACGCUAGCGGCAGGCCUAAUACAUGCAAGUCGAACGGUACGCAAGUACAGUGGCGAACGGGUGCGUAACGCGUAAGGAACCUGCCCCUGAUUGGGGGAUAGCCCGGCGAAAGCUGGGGUAAACCCGCAUAGUUCAAUGAAGUGGCA